rnacentral:lncRNA from 1 species
GAUUAUUCCAUCACGUGGAAGGCUAUAAAGCUGUGGGGAGUUGAGCAGAGGUUGGUUAGUGCUGGGGGAUUCCUGCGUGUUGGUCACUAAGUGGACAAACCACUCCUUUGAUGGGCUCUUCCUUGCCCCUCCUGGUCGGGUUGUUUAGUGGCAGUUGUGUCUAAUCAACAAGGAGUUUUUGGUGGAAGAAAACUUUCAGUGAUGAAAUCAUCCUGAUUCAUCCCGGUGAUGGAGGAAAGGAAAAUGCUAAAUAUCUCUGCUUUAUUUGGAAAGAUUAACUCCUACAUGUUCCAUUUAAUACCAGUAUCUUACCACAAAAGAAAA